UACGUAGGGUGCGAGCGUUAAUCGGAAUUACUGGGCGUAAAGCGUGCGCAGGCGGUUCGUUGUGUCGGUGGUGAAAGCCCCGGGCUUAACCUGGGAAUGGCCAUGGAAACUGGCGAACUGGAGUGUGGCAGAGGGGGGUGGAAUUCCACGUGUAGCGGUGAAAUGCGUAGAGAUGUGGAGGAACACCGAUGGCGAAGGCAGCCUCCUGGGCCAACACUGACGCUCAUGCACGAAAGCGUGGGGAGCAAACAGG
rnacentral:rRNA from 1 species